rnacentral:lncRNA from 1 species
GAUGGGCUAGAUUUUCUUAAAAAUUUUGUGGGCAGCAGUAUGUUAUGAAGACAGGUGUCUCAUUCAAGAAAAGCAACUAGUCAUUCAAAGUGAAAUGUAUGCUAAAUCCUAAGUUGAGCAUAAAUAUCAUUUGCUAUGAUUUGUAUUUCUAUGGAUUUGGAGUUAUUUUUGUUUUGAAUUUUUAAUUGCAGAUUCAACGUGAUUAAACAGGAUUGUAAGCGCUAUAUGCAGCAUUUUGCUGAGAUUUUUAUCUUUCAGUGAUCAUCCAAAGGAUACUGAGACUGAUUAUAGCAUCCAUCUUGAGAGGAGACUCUUCCUUUCUGGAUUUGAGGAAGCAAACAGCCACACAGGGAAGUUGCACAUCUCAAAGAACUGAAUAGUUUGACCUCUGGCCAAACUAUUAGGUAUGUACAAUUAGAAUUGUUAUGGAUAUCUAAUAGGUUGAACUAUUUAUUAUGAAAUAUUUCUGUAUCUUUGAUAAUGCUUCCUGUCAUUAGACUUUACAUGUUCUCAUCAGAAGUGAAUAUUCAGAGAUUAUACUUAUAGGGAAAAUUUAGGUUGUCAGUAAUUUUUACUCGACAUUUAAUAUUUAAAUACAUUCUUUCCUAAAAAGCAGUAACUCUCCAAUAAAUUGUUGGGGUGGGGGGCGAAUAGGAUCA